GGGCAGCUGUGUAUGUCCAAAACGAUCCAAGGGUUUGGUAUUAUUGACAAUGAGAAAACGUUUUGAAUAACCAAAAUGACGUGGAUUUCUAUAAUUUAAGGUGACCAUUACGCUGUCAAUAUUGAUCAAACCCUAUACCGUACUAUAUUUAUAAGGCUCCAAUAUGAAACAAUUCAAACAAACUAAUCAACAGCCAUAACGUGAAACACCUU
rnacentral:lncRNA from 1 species